GCUCAUGUAGCUCAGUUGGUAGAGCACACCCUUGGUAAGGGUGAGGUCCCGCACGUCAACGUCGGCACCA
rnacentral:tRNA from 1 species